GGAAACCCUGACGCAGCGACGCCGCGUGCGGGAAGAAGGCCUUCGGGUCGUAAACCGCUGUCAGGAGGGAAGAAACUGUUGGAGUCGAAUAGGCUCUUUCACUGACGGUACCUCCAGAGGAAGCACCGGCUAACUCCGUGCCAGCAGCCGCGGUAAUACGGAGGGUGCGAGCGUUAAUCGGAAUCACUGGGCGUAAAGCGUACGUAGGUGGCAAAGUCAGUCAGGCGUGAAAGCCCUCGGCUCAACCGAGGAAUUGCGUUUGAUACUACUUUGCUAGAGUCUCGGAGAGGUUGGCGGAAUUCCAGGUGUAGGAGUGAAAUCCGUAGAUAUCUGGAGGAACACCAGUGGCGAAGGCGGCCAACUGGACGAGUACUGACACUGAGGUACGAAAGCGUGGGUAGCAAACAGGAUUAGAUACCCUGGUAGUCC
rnacentral:rRNA from 1 species